AGAGUUUGAUCCUGGCUCAGAAUCAACGCUGGCGGCGUGCCUAACACAUGCAAGUCGAACGAGAAAGUGGAGCAAUCCAUGAGUAAAGUGGCGACCGGGUGAGUAACACGUGACCAACCUACCUUCGAGUGGGGGAUAACUCCGGGAAACCGGAGCUAAUACCGCAUAACAUCUUUGGAAUGCAAAUUCCGUUGAUCAAAGGAGCAAUUCGCUUGAAGAGGGGGUCGCGGCUGAUUAGCUAGUUGGCGGGGUAAUGGCCCACCAAGGCGGAGAUCGGUAGCCGGCCUGAGAGGGCGCACGGCCACACUGGAACUGAAACACGGUCCAGACUCCUACGGGAGGCAGCAGUGGGGAAUUUUGCGCAAUGGGGGAAACCCCUGACGCAGCAACGCCGCGUGGAGGAUGAAGUCCCUCUGGGACGUAAACUCCUUUCGACCAAGACGAUUAUGACGGUACUGGUGGAAGAAGCACCGGCUAACUCUGUGCCAGCAGCCGCGGUAAUACAGAGGGUGCGAGCGUUGUUCGGAAUUAUUGGGCGUAAAGGGCGCGUAGGCGGCGCCACAAGUCACCUGUGGAAAACUGCUGGGCUCAACUCAGAGCCUGCAGGCGAAACUGUGGUGCUGGAGUAUGGGAGAGGUGCGUGGAAUAUCCCGGUGUAGCGGUGAAAUGCGUGAGAUAUACGGGAGGAACACCUGUGGCGAAAGCGGCGCACUGGACCAUAACUGACGCUGAGGCGCGAAGCUAGGGG
rnacentral:rRNA from 1 species